rnacentral:lncRNA from 1 species
UCAAUUUUUGCCUAUGGAGAUCCAAUUAUUCCAACAUCAUUUUUGUAAAAGACCAUUAUUUCUCUACUAAAUUGUGUUUGCUUGUUGGCAAAAAUAAAUUUGCUUUUGUACUUGUAUGGGCUUAUGUGUGGACCCUCUGUUCUAUUUUAUUGAUGUGUGAGCAUAUCUCUUUGUCAUACCAUCCUGUCUUGAUUACUAUAGCUAUCUAGUAAGUUUAUAAAUCCUGUAGUGUGAUUCAUCAGCUUUAUUUUUUUUAGUCAAAAUUGUUUUCCCUAGUCUAGUUCUUUUUCUUUUCAAUGUAAAUUUCCGAAUCAGCUUAUCUGUAUCUCAGAAAAAAUCUGCUAGGGGUUUUUGAGAGGCAGUGCAUUAAACCUGUAGAUAUUUCAGGACAAUUGAUAUCUUUACUAUGCUUAGUCUUCCCAAACAUUAGGCACAGUAUGCUUCUCCAUUUAUUUUGGUCCUCUUUGAUUUCUUUGAAGAGGAGCAUUAUGUAGUUUUUAGCAUACAUUUCCUCUAUAGGUUUUAUUAGACGUUUAUGUAAGAAUUCAAUUUUUAGAGCUAUAAUUUAUAGUAUUUUUUUUAAAUUUAUAUUUCCAAUUGUUCACUGAUAGUAUAUAAAAAUAUGAUUCAUUUGUGUGUGUGUUGACCUUGUAUCCUGUGACCUUGCCUAACUCACUGAGUACUAAGAGUUUCCUUUGUAAAUCCCUUGAAAUUUUAAUAUAGACAAUUAUGCCAUCUGCAAAUAGGAACAAUUUUAUUUUGUUUAUUCUCAGUUGGAUGUCUCAAUUUAGUUGUUUUCCAUUUUCCUGAUGGUAAGUCCACUAGUUUGUCUUCUGCUGCGUUUACUUUGCUAUAUUCCAAGAGUCUUUUAUUUUCCAGUGCUAGAUUAUCAGCUUGGUUUUUACUCUGAUUAUAAUUCUCUGUUCAAAUAUUUCAAUUUCAUCAACUUUGUCCAGCAGUUUUCCUAUUUUAUUUUCUGUAUUAAUCACAAUUAAUUGGAAUUCCUUGUCUGCUACCUUAAACUCUGGAUCAUCUCUUGGUCUAUCUUCAUUGACUUUUAAAUUUUUUCAUUUAUUUUUUAUUUUAUGUUUUAUUUAAAAUUUUUUAGGCAUGAAGUUUCAUUAUGUUGCCCAGGCUGCACUUAAACUCCUGGGCUCAAGCGAUCCUCCCACCUCAGGCUCCUGAAUAGCUGAAAUUACAGACACGUGCCACAGCACCAAGCUUUCACUGACUUUUUAUUUCUUGAUUAUCAAUAACUUUUUCCUGUUUCUUUGAGUAUCUGUUCAUCUUUUUACUGUAUGUUCAAUAUUGUAGGUGACAGGCUGUGAGUGAUAUGGAUUAUAUUUCUGAAGAGUUUAUAUUUGUUUGGACAGUAGUUAAAUUAUCAAUGAAUUAUAUCCAUCAUUUCAAACCUUUCUUAAGGUUUGUUGUGGGUGAAUUGAAAUUUCCUGUCUUCAUGGAAUAUCUUUUCUACCUGCAGCAUAGUAGUUACUCAUGGUGGGGUGUGGGGAGUGUCUUUCUGUAACUUAAAUUAAGGUCUCUCCAUUUUCUCAGACACAUUUACUUAACACUCUGUGAUUCCUGAAAUUUCUCUUUAGUUUGCAUUAUCUUACCAACAAUUCUCUGUAGCCCACUAUAUCCUUGAGCUUUAUUUGCAUAGUUUAUAAGUGAAUUAGGAACUUCAGGUGAAUAUUUGCAGAUAUUUGGGUUUCUCUCUCUGUGACUUCCUACUCUUUGAUACUUGCCCUUCAAAUCCUAGGGGACUGGCGGUCCCAAAUUUUAAUCUCUGUUUCAAAAAACCAGUGAAACCAUCAUUCUCUAAGUUUGGUUGUAUUACACCAGGAUGUUGUUUAGGAAAUUCUCAUAAGCAGAAAUCUGGGACCAAUGUGGGGUUCGCUUCUUAUCCUCUUCUGCCAAGGUCAUAUUCCUCUAUUGGUUGCUACACAGUGCCUACAAAGUGUCGCUUAAUGUAUUUUGUUUAUCUGUUAUAAUUGUUUAUGACAGAAGGUUAAAUCCAAUGCUAGCUAAUCUCUAAUGGCCAGACUUUGGACUUCUUGUUAUAUGGAAAAAAAAAAAAAACAGUAAACUCCUCUUUUAUUAAGCUACUGAAGUCAGGUUUACAUUUUUGUUUUUGUUUUGUUGUUGUUAUUGUUUUUGAGACAGAGUCUCACUCUGUUGCCCAGGUUGGAGUGCAGUGGCAUGAACUCAGCUCACUGAAACCUUUACCUUCCAGGUUCAGGCGAUUCUCCUGCCUCAGCCUCCCAAGUACCUGAGAUUACAGGUGCCUGCCAUCAUGCCUGGCUAAUUUUUGUAUUUUUGUAGACAUAGGGUUUCACAAUAUUGGCCAGGCUGGUCUCGAACUCCUGAC